rnacentral:snRNA from 2 species
GUCUGUUCAGAGACAUCUAAUAAAAUUGGAAUGUUAACAAGAUUAGUAUGGCCCUUGUUCAAGGAUGACAUGAAAAGUUGAGAAAUGGUCCAUAUUUUU